rnacentral:lncRNA from 1 species
ACCUUAGGUGCCUAUAAAAUGGCUACAGCCUGAAGGUCCCGACAUAUAUGAAUAAGUGCACCGUUGCUCUUUACAGUAUUCGGAGGGGUCGGGGUCGGUAGAUAAAAAAAUUAAAGAAAAUUGGAAAGAAAACGAAGAAGAAAACGAAAAGUUGGACGCCAACCUACUUGCGUAGGAUUUUACCUUACCUUACUUUGUGGAUACAAUCGAACAGGAACUAACUGAUAGCCAAAUUACUCUGUAAAAUUACCUGAAAUGUAGGUGGA